GACAUAGGUGGCAAACGUUAUCCGGAAUUAUUGGGCGUAAAGGGUGCGUAGAUGGUCUGGUAAGUUAGUAGUGGGAAAUCGAGGCUCAACCUCGUGGAAGUCACUAAUACUGCUUUACUUGAGUUCAGGAGAGGUUAAUAGAAUUCCCUGUGGAGCGGUGAAAUGCGUCGAUAUAGGGAGGAAUAUCAAUAAAGGCGAAGGCAAUUAACUAUUCUGCUACUGACAUUGAGGCACGAAAGCGUGGGGAGCAAAACGG
rnacentral:rRNA from 1 species